AGCGUAUAUUAAAGUUGUUGCAGUUAAAAAGCUCGUAGUUGAAUUUCGGGAUUAGUACGUUGGUCGUGCCUUCGGUACGUACUGGUGUUACUGAUUCCUACCUUCUGACGAACCAUCAUGUCAUUAAUUUGGUGUGGCGGGGAAUCAGGACUGUUACUUUGAAAAAAUUAGAGUGUUUAAAGCAGGCUCGCGCUUGAAUACAUUAGCAUGGAAUAAUGGAAUAGGACGUUGAUCCUAUUUUGUUGGUUUCUAGGAUUGACGUAAUGAUUAAUAGGGAUAGUUGGGGGCAUUAGUAUUCAAUUGUCAGAGGUGAAAUUCUUGGAUUUAUUGAAGACUAACUACUGCGAAAGCAUUUGCCAAGGAUGUUUUCAUUAAUCAAGAACGAAAGUUAGGGGAUCGAAGACGAUCAGAUACCGUCGUAGUCUUAACCAUAAACUAUGCCGACUAGGGAUCGGAUGAUGUUAUUUUUAAUGACUC
rnacentral:rRNA from 1 species